rnacentral:lncRNA from 1 species
GCCAGGGCGCAGAGCGUGUCCCCCUUCCUGCCAUCCUGCUGUCUCCUUUCCCGGCGCCAUCCCAUUCAGCAAGCAGGCAUGCAUACACUCAAGGGGGGAAGGCGUGGUUUGGACAGCGAGUUUGAUUUUUAUCUUCUUAAGAAAGGACUGGUGGUGAGGACAAAGCCUCCUUUCAUGCGCUUGAGCGCAGCGCACAGAGGGAGGCUGGCAGGCAAGACGCUGCACCCCCAGCGGGGGCUGAGGUUUUAGGCCAAGUGCGCUGCGGCGUCGCCGGAAGGCGCAGGCAUCCAAGGACAGUGUGUGCCGCGGGUUUCAGGGCCUGCCCUGAAACGGGCACAAGUUCAUGGGUGCCACCUGCGCCCGCGGAAAUCUUAAUGAUGUGGGGAAACCUGGGGUUAAGAGGAGUCAUUUCCUGAAGGGUUUGCCCUGCAAGCAGCCAUUUUCAUGGGCUCCACUGGAAGAUGGGCUCAGGCCACCAGGGAGCUCCCAUCUACAGAAUGAUACCCACGUUUCCUCCAGUCCUGAGAUCCUUAUGGGGUGACGUUUCCUUCAAGCAUCUUGAAAGUGGGUGUGACUUAAGAACAGCUCUUGGAGUUCCCACUGCAGCACAGUGGGUGAAGAAUCCAACUGCUGUGGCUCAGGGUGCUGCAAGGCA